AUGGUGAAGAAAGUGACGAGAAACACGACCGAGUGCCCUUUUUUUGGUGUUUCCGCACCCUUAAGUGGUUCAAUGCUGCCAACAAACCGGGAGGUGAUGAAGUUCUUUUAUUACACUCGUGAACUUUUACGAGCCGAAAAUUGUGGCCGGGAACCUACAAUCCAUAUGAUUGCUUCGUCCGUCGCGAAAAAACUGUGUGAAAUUUGGAGGAGAGCUUCAAUCCCUACUGUUACGGAGAGUGCCGUUAAAGCUGCGAUCAUACGGUAUCAUCAAAAGUGCGGUGACAUUAAGAGGAGUGCGUGUAAACCUCAUAAAGGCGUGUCACUUACGAAGAAAAUUGACGAUUUUAAAACAAAUUCGCGGAAAUUAAUGGAUAUUUGCACUUGCAAGUGUAAGCAAAUUAAAAAAUGUGCUUGCAAAAAAGGUUUAAAAGUUCCCGAAAAAGAAGUGUCGUUUUUAAUCGAUCAACGGACUAAGCGGCUUUUGGCAAUCGGUGGCGUUGAUAUCAAGGAGACAGGAGUUUUGAUGAAAAGAGCGAGGAGAGUAUCGUCGCAGAGGAGUCACGAAGAAAGGAACUCUGAAAUUGACAAGGAACCCGAUCCAGAAAUUCAGGUUUCAGAUGAAGAACCGCUCUCACCAACGUCUCAUCAAGGAUUUUCAACAGAUGGUGAUAAUUCGAUCAGUUCAGAAUUGGACAUGCUUCGUCAGGAAAAAAUCGACAUCAAUUCUAAUGUGCGCAAAUCAUCAUCGGGGCAAAUGCGUUUGCAAUUACCAACAGUGACUGAAAUUCUUGCAAGAACUGGUGUGCCCACUAGAGCUGCUGCUAUGAUUGUCACAGCAACUUUAGUAGAUGCUAAAUUAAUUGACGCGACGGACACAUCUAAAGUUGUAGACCGGAGCUACUUAAAACGUCAGAAGAAGAAAAUGCUCAAGAAAAUAGCCGACGUUGAAAAGAAAUCCAGAAGCGCAAUAGAGGGGCUGUACUUUGACGGAAGAAAGGACGAGACGAUGCAGUUACAGACCGAUGGGAAGAGGACUUAUCAAUCCAAAACCAUGGAAGAACACAUCGUGCUUGUUCAAGAACCUGGAUCGCGGUACUUAGGAUUUGUCACUCCCAGUAGCGGCACCGCAAAGGACAUAACAAUUGCAAUUAUUGAUUUUUUAUCGGAAAAUGGAAUCAACGCGUCAAAUGUAAAGAUUAUCGGGUGCGAUGGCACUAAUGUUAACACCGGCAACAAAGGAGGUAUAGUGCGACUUCUUGAACUAAGAUUAAAGCGUCCGCUGCAAAGAAGCAUUUGCCAACUGCAUUGCAACGAAUUGCCAUUAAGACACCUCAUUGAAAAUUUGGACGGUCAAACCAAAGGUCCUUAUUCAUUUGCGGGCCCCAUUGGAUUGGAACUCAAAAACUGUCACACCCUUCCAGUAAUCGAAUUUGAACCAGUUUUCACGAUGUUGGACUUAGAUUUUGUCAACCCCAAAACCCUCAGUAGUGAUCAGCAAUAUUUGCUCUUGAUUUCCGUGGCAGUAUCAGAAGGAUUUUGCGAGGAGAGCCUUGCAAGGAGAACUCCCGGAAAAAUGGCUCACACACGAUGGGUCACAACUGCUUGUAGACUUCUGAGGCUCUACAUUUCAACAGAAGCCCCGUCCGAAAAUUUGAAAACACUAGUUGAGUUUAUUCAAAAAGUGUAUGCUCCAUUGUGGUUUUCAAUCAAAAGAAAUCACUCCAUUCAAGAUGGAGCGCCAAAUUUAUGGAAGCUGAUCAGUUGGUCCCGGUAUCUGCCACAAGAAUUAAAAGAUAUCGUAGACCCUGUUAUACAAAGAAACGGUUAUUUCGGACAUCCUGAGAACAUCCUCCUGGCUAUGAUCACAGACGAACGAGAAGAAGUACGAAUAGAUGCAUGGGAAAAAAUUGCAGAAGCACGCAAGACCAAACCAAAAGAAACACGAAUCUUCACGAUUCCGAAACUGAACUUUGAAGCAGAGGAUUAUUCAUCCUUAGUGCAAUGGAACAAAGUGACUGUGACAGAGCCACCUGUUCUAUCAGAUCUAGACCUUGAAGAUUUUCAACGUUUCGCAAGAGAAGGCGCCAUUUUAAACUUGAUUUCCCAUGUCACACACAAGCCGUGGAAAGAUGUGUGA
rnacentral:lncRNA from 1 species